rnacentral:tRNA from 1 species
CAGAGAGUAGUUUAAGAAGAAUUUCAGCUUUGGGUGCUGAUAGUGAGAUAUUAGGUCUCCUCUUUGA